rnacentral:rRNA from 1 species
UACAGAGGGGGCAAGCGUUGUUCGGAAUUACUGGGCGUAAAGGGCGCGUAGGCGGCCUGUUAAGUCGAACGUGAAAUCCGCGGGCUCAACCCGGGAACUGCGUCCGAUACUGGCAGGCUUGAAUUCGGGAGAGGGAUGUGGAAUUCCAGGUGUAGCGGUGAAAUGCGUAGAUAUCUGGAGGAACACCGGUGGCGAAGGCGGAAUCCUGGACCGAUAUUGACGCUGAUGCGCGAAAGCCAGGGGAGCAAACGGG